CCCCUGGUGGUACAAUGGUUGAGUGCUCAGCUGCUAACUGAAAAGUUGGUGGUUCAAACCCACCCAGUGGC
rnacentral:tRNA from 1 species